CCCGCCACUGUGCUUGCCUAUUUUCAGCCGUGGCUUGCGCAUUCCAGUGGUGAGCUGAGAAAAAAACACCCUUUCAAGGAAACAGAGCUAUUCUCUCCCGUGGGUAACUCUGUGCCGAAGACUGGGAACAGAA